AUUUGGACGGUGAUACCACCGCAGCACCUGAUUUCGAGGCCAGCUCGCCCCCGCGUCCACAUGUAUCUUGCGCAUGUACGCGAACAGGACUCCAAGGAAUACAACUGCCCCAGUCUGCCUUAAAGAGCCAGGCAUGUGCUGGUGAGGCUCUCCCCACAACAGGCUGCCUCUCUGCUCUCUUAAGGUGGACCAGAAGAGAUGUGUUGCGUGUGUCUAGUACCUUGCAGUAACAAUGGACGGGAAAGAGUUAAUUCCCACGGUCUCUCCUCUAGCCUCUUUGUGAUCUCAUGGAAGGCUGUCCAGUGGAUAUGAGGAUCACUCUCUUCCCCAGAACACUUCUUAUACACCGCAUCUCAUCUAAUAAUAGGUGUCUGCCUGAGGUUAGUCCCAGCAUACUGGCAAUAAUCCAUGAACUUGGCGUCAAAACAAUAGGUAUGUUGUACACACCUACACAAUACACACACUUACACAAUACACACAUCUACCAGAAUACACACAUCCACCUAUUCCUAUUCUAACUGAUUUCCUCUAUGCAUUUGUAAAUCUUUGUGUCUGUGAGGUGUGUCUGUGUGUGUGUGUGUUUUUUCUCUACUGUCCUCGUGCACUGCUGGUAUCUUUGCGCCACUCUAAUGAUCUUAAAGUAAUCCUUGACUGAUGAGAUUACAGAAAACAGUGUGAAAAGGUAUGUAGAGGAGAGACUGAGCAUCACUAUAACAGAUCCACUCAGUGCAAACAGGACAACUACAAAAUGGCUACACUUGACCCAUGAGACCAACGGGAGAAAAGGGAAAGCCAGUGUGUUACCCAACAACACGACAAAUGUGAAGCAGAAGUCUAAAGGAUCAGAGGUAUAUAUUGAAAGAGCAGCCUUUAUUGCUUUUGAUGGAAAUUAAAUUGGUUUAUUGAAGCAUCUGUUACUUUGCCUUAAAGUUACUGAAAGAGGAAUUAUGUCUAAAUGUUCUCAAAGAACAGAACAGGCAUACCAUGCAUUGAGGUAGAGAUGCUGCAAGUGCAGAGAGGAAAUGAGUGUGUGAAGUAUCUUAAUAAAACAGUGUAAGUUUUGCUAAUUUUUGCCAAUUUAAAAGGUAAUGUUUUCAACUUUUAAUUUGAUAACAGAUAGACCAUAGUAAAUUAUAUGAAGAUACAUAAGACAGGAGGAUAUUUGCUUGGAAAUAUAAUUAUAAUGUGCUGUAGUGUGUGUGUAUACACACACUCUGCAUAUGCCUGAUACCAAUCACAAUGAAAUUAGGUAUCAUAUUGUAUGAUGGUGUCUGAUUGUAUCAAGGAAACACUAAUU
rnacentral:lncRNA from 1 species